GACGAACCGUGCAAACGUUGUUCGGAAUCACUGGGCUUAAAGGGCGCGUAGGCGGGCCGGAUAGUCUGCGGUGAAAGCCCCCAGCUUAACUGGGGAAGUGCCGUGGAUACUGCCGGCCUGGAGGAGGGUAGGGGCAUCUGGAACGCUGGGUGGAGCGGUGAAAUGCGUUGAUAUCCAGCGGAACUCCGGUGGCGAAGGCGAGGUGCUGGACCCUUUCUGACGCUGAUGCGCGAAAGCCAGGGGAGCAAACGGG
rnacentral:rRNA from 1 species